ACGGGUGAGUAACACGUAGAUAAUCUACCUUCAAGCCUGGGAUAACUAUUCGAAAGGAUGGCUAAUACCGGAUGAAGUAUGUUGACAUAAGUUGAUAUAUGAAAGGUUGCCUCUUCUUGAAAGCAAUUGUUUGGAGAUGAGUCUGCGGACCAUUAGUUUGUUGGUGGGGUAAAGGCCUACCAAGACUACGAUGGUUAGCUGGUCUGAGAGGAUGAUCAGCCACACUGGAACUGACACACGGUCCAGACUCC
rnacentral:rRNA from 1 species